rnacentral:rRNA from 1 species
AUUGAACGCUGGCGGCAGGCCUAACACAUGCAAGUCGAACGGUAACAGGAAGCAGCUUGCUGCUUUGCUGACGAGUGGCGGACGGGUGAGUAAUGUCUGGGAAACUGCCCGAUGGAGGGGGAUAACUACUGGAAACGGUAGCUAAUACCGCAUAACGUCGCAAGACCAAAGAGGGGGACCUUAGGGCCUCUUGCCAUCGGAUGUGCCCAGGUGGGAUUAGCUAGUAGGUGGGGUAACGGCUCACCUAGGCGACGAUCCCUAGCUGGUCUGAGAGGAUGACCAGCCACACUGGAACUGAGACACGGUCCAGACUCCUACGGGAGGCAGCAGUGGGGAAUAUUGCACAAUAGGCGCAAGCCUGAUGCAGCCAUGCCGCGUGUAUGAAGAAGGCCUUCGGGUUGUAAAGUACUUUCAGCGGGGAGGAAGGGAGUAAAGUUAAUACCUUUGCUCAUUGACGUUACCCGCAGAAGAAGCACCGGCUAACUCCGUG